GGAACAUGUGUGGGCAUGCCAUGGACCUCAGAAAUUAAGAUGAUCACUCACGAAGCAGGUGAUGUUGAAUCCAUUUAUAAAGAGCAGCUCUUCAUCACACCAUGAGACCACUGACCAUCUUCUGCUGUGGAGACCAAGGUAACUUUCAGUAUCAUGGUUAGUGGACGGAUCAUCCUUAUUGCUGCUGGUUCUGCCCUGUCCUUCAUUCUCACAAGCUGUGAUGACUCACUUGACAGUCGCUCUUUGGAGAGUGCCACAAAAACACAGGAUGAGAACAAUUUGAUCAAGGCACUGCAAGAGGUUCUUGAGAAGUUAAAGAAUAAACAACUGCCACAAACCGGAAAAAAGUUUAGCCUACUUC